rnacentral:rRNA from 1 species
UACGUAGGGGGGCUAGCGUUGUCCGGAAUCAUUGGGCGUAAAGCGCGCGUAGGCGGCCUGGUAAGUCCGCUGUGAAAGUCAAAAGGCUCAACCUUUGAAUGUCAGCGGACACUGCCAGGCUAGAGUCCGGAAGAGGCGAGUGGAAUUCCUGGUGUAGCGGUGGAAUGCGCAGAUAUCAGGAGGAACACCAACGGCGAAGGCAGCUCGCUGGGACGGUAGCUGACGCUGAGGUGCGAAAGCGUUGGGGAGCAAACAGG